GGCGAACGGGUGAGUAAUGCAUCGGAACGUGCCCAGUCGUGGGGGAUAACGCAGCGAAAGUUGUGCUAAUACCGCAUACGAUCUAUGGAUGAAAGCGGGGGACCUUCGGGCCUCGCGCGAUUGGAGCGGCCGAUGUUAGAUUAGGUAGUUGGUGGGGUAAAGGCUCACCAAGCCAACGAUCUAUAGCUGGUCUGAGAGGACGACCAGCCACACUGGAACUGAGACACGGUCCAGACUCCUACGGGAGGCAGCAGUGGGGAAUUUUGGACAAUGGGCGAAAGCCUGAUCCAGCAAUACCGCGUGCAGGAAGAAGGCCCUCGGGUUGUAAACUGCUUUUGUACGGAACGAAACGGCGCGCUCUAAUAAAGUGCGCUAACGACGGUACCGUAAGAAUAAGCACCGGCUAACUACGUGCCAGCAGCCGCGGUAAUACGGAUGGUGCGAGCGUUAAUCGGAAUUACUGGGCGUAAAGCGCGC
rnacentral:rRNA from 1 species